AACGAACGCUGGCGGCAUGCCUAACACAUGCAAGUCGAACGAGACCUUCGGGUGUAUUGGCGCACGGGUGUGUAACGCGUGGGAACCUUCCCUUAGGUUCGGAAUAACUCCCCGAAAGGGGUGCUAAUACCGGAUAAUGUCUACUGACCAAAGAUUUAUCGCCUUUGGAUGGGCCCGCGUUGGAUUAGCUAUUUGGUAGGGUAAAAGCCUACCAAGGCGACGAUCCAUAGCUGGUCUGAGAGGAUGAUAAGCCACACUGGGACUGAGACACGGCCCAGACUCCUACGGGAGGCAGCAGUGGGGAAUAUUGGACAAUGGGCGAAAGCCUGAUCCAGCAAUGACGCGUGAGUGAUGAAGGCCUUAGGGUUGUAAAGCUCUUUUACCCGGGAUGAUAAUGACAGUACCGGGAGAAUAAGCUACGGCUAACUCCGUG
rnacentral:rRNA from 1 species